AUUGAACGCUGGCGGCAUGCUUUACACAUGCAAGUCGAACGGUAGAGGGGGCAACCCCUUGAGAGUGGCGAACGGGUGAGUAAUGCAUCGGAACGUGCCCAGUCGUGGGGGAUAACGCAGCGAAAGCUGUGCUAAUAACGCAUACGAUCUCUGGAUGAAAGCGGGGGACCGAAAGGCCUCGUGCGAUUGGAGCGGCCGAUGUCAGAUUAGGUAGUUGGUGGGGUAAAGGCUCACCAAGCCAAAGAUCUGUAGCUGGUCUGAGAGGACGACCAGCAAAACUGGGACUGAUAAACGACCCAGACUCCUACGGGAGGCAGCAGUUGGGAAUUUUGGACAAUGGGCGCAAGCCUGAUCCAGCAAUGCCGCGUGCAGGAAGAAGGCCUUCGGGUUGUAAACUGCUUUUGUACGGAACGAAAAGGUCUGGGUUAAUACCCUGGGCACAUGACGGUACCGUAAGAAUAAGCACCGGCUAACUACGUGCCAGCAGCCGCCGCAG
rnacentral:rRNA from 1 species